UACAUAGAAGCAAAAGUGCUCCUGGAAGCUUCCAUUUCCUAGACAAACCUAGGUGAGACCAGUUGAGAUAAGCGAUACAUCCCUGACCGCAGGGAUGGCCUUUCAACCGAAGAGAUGCAAAAUCCGCGCGGAUUUCAAAUGAUCCCCAAGUGAACAUCUAAAGUCCGUUUCGCAAAGCCCCAACAACCAGCCUUGAGGGACAAGGACGCCAGCUAAUCUAUCUGAGAAAUCCAUCAGGCCAAUAUUUAAGAUGUAAAAUGCUUAAACCCUUAUCAUCGUAAGGUAAGUUUAUUUGGAGUUCCUCGUUUGUCAAACCGCGUGAUGCUUUGGAAAGAGUCACAAGCUGAUCCACAGAGAUCUGCCCAAACUUAGGGUGUAAUUCGGCUACAUGUUGUACAGGUCACACUCCGACCGUGCAGGUUACAUUCCUAACUCCUCCACUGCCUGCUCGACCCAACACCGAGAGGAUUUAAUCCUGAACACCGCAGUAACCACGCCAAACUCACAAAAACUCUGCUGUUCCUCAUAGGACCGAGCACCGCCCUGUGUUUGGCGCAUGCUGGGAAUUGUAGUCCUACACAGCGCCAAGAAAAGCAGUUAAGAAACUUGAAGAGACUAUAGUUCCCAGCAUGCCCGAGGACGAUCUCCGCCCACCCUCGCAAGCCGAGGAGGUCUGGCCGGGUGAAACCCGGCGUGGUUCUACCUUAAAGCUCUCCAGCCUAAGAGGGCCGGGUGGACCUGACUCACCCUGUAAUUAUGAUAGUGCGUCUCCACGAGAUGCUUAUGGCGAGACUUAUCGUGGCCGAAGUUGGAUUUCUCACAGACCAGCCAUUUAUGAUUUUCGUCACAAGCCAAAUCAAAUGAUGCCUGAAACAACCUCAUAAUCUGAAAGCAAGGCGUAAAAACAGAACUGCUGGGAAGACAUCUCCUCCUGUUGCAGUUUAGUGCAAUGGCCAAGGGCAACCUGAGAUGCUGCCAUGGGGUAAAUCCUUCAGCACCCAUGGGAAAGACAUGCAGCCAACAUAUCCUUAGCUCU
rnacentral:lncRNA from 1 species